GACGAACGCUGGCGGCGUGCUUAACACAUGCAAGUCGAACGGGAAGGCCCUGCUUUUGUGGGGUGCUCGAGUGGCGAACGGGUGAGUAACACGUGAGUAACCUGCCCUUGACUUUGGGAUAACUUCAGGAAACUGGGGCUAAUACCGGAUAGGAGCUCCUGCUGCAUGGUGGGGGUUGGAAAGUUUCGGCGGUUGGGGAUGGACUCGCGGCUUAUCAGCUUGUUGGUGGGGUAGUGGCUUACCAAGGCUUUGACGGGUAGCCGGCCUGAGAGGGUGACCGGCCACAUUGGGACUAAGAUACGGCCCAGACUCCUACGGGAGGCAGCAGUGGGGAAUAUUGCACAAUGGGCGGAAGCCUGAUGCAGCAACGCCGCGUGCGGGAUGACGGCCUUCGGGUUGUAAACCGCUUUCGCCUGUGACGAAGCGUGAGUGACGGUAAUGGGUAAAGAAGCACCGGCUAACUACGUG
rnacentral:rRNA from 1 species